rnacentral:lncRNA from 1 species
GUAAGCAGACAGUUCACCCCUGAUGAUUUACAGCUGCCAAGGGAACUAGGAGUGUAAAAACCAUCAUGUACAACUCAACAAUUUAUUGAAACAUAAACUCUGCCUGAAUAAAGAAAUAGGACAUCACCAGCACUCUCAAGACUAUCCUCUCCCUCACCUAAAGGCUGAGAACAUAGAGUCCCAAUACUGUGUACAAAUGUUACUUGGAUUAGUUGUUGCUAAUAAAGCAUGCACUGCUGCCCGUCCUUAUAUAGAAGGCUAUCAUCGCAGAUAAUGACUACCAAGGUAAUUGGACCUGUCACACCUUGCAGCCUGGUUUCCAGCUUAUGGGAGAAAGGUUUGCAUCCCAGAGCUGAAGAAAUGGGUUCGCGUUCAAUGAGAUGAAGCCAUUUUGAAAAGGUUGUCCACGUAAUAUAUCUCUUAUAAUAAACCCAACUUCUGUCUUUUCCAC